rnacentral:sRNA from 1 species
GAUUAUCAUUUCCAGUUGUGUUAAUAAAACGGCAUUAUAUGGUACGUUCAAAUAUAUAAUUUAUAUGUGUAGGUGUGCUACAUCGUCCAAAAUGGUGUUCUUAUUUGUAAUUUAUUGUUAAAUCCAAGGAGAUAUUGGUAAGUAAGCGGA